rnacentral:rRNA from 1 species
UGGGGAAUAUUGGACAAUGGGCGGAAGCCUGAUCCAGCAACGCCGCGUGAGGGAUGACGGCCUUCGGGUUGUAAACCUCUUUCAGCACAGACGAAGCGCAAGUGACGGUAUGUGCAGAAGAAGGACCGGCCAACUACGUGCCAGCAGCCGCGGUAAUACGUAGGGUCCGAGCGUUGUCCGGAAUUAUUGGGCGUAAAGGGCUCGUAGGCGGUUUGUCGCGUCGGGAGUGAAAACACCGGGCUUAACUCGGUGCUUGCUUUCGAUACGGGCAGACUAGAGGCAUUCAGGGGAGAACGGAAUUCCUGGUGUAGCGGUGAAAUGCGCAGAUAUCAGGAGGAACACCGGUGGCGAAGGCGGUUCUCUGGGAAUGUCCUGACGCUGAGGAGCGAAAGUGUGGGGAGCGAACAGGAUUAGAUACCCUGGUAGUCUACACCGUAAACGUUGGGCGCUAGGUGUGGGAUCCAUUCCACGGGUUCCGUGCCGCAGCUAACGCAUUAAGCGCCCCGCCUGGGGAGUACGGCCGCAAGGCUAAAACUCAAAUGAAUUGACGGGGUCAUAGCUGUUUCCU